AUUGCCGAGGGAAGUCAGGAUUGUUAGUGCAGCAGUCAGAAGGCUAGAAAGGAACAGUUCGGCAGUCGAUCUCUGAAAGACAAGAACAAUGCUAGUCUGGAAGACAAGCAUAGUUUUCCAAUUCUAA